ACAAUAGAUAUGAUGUGAUGGAAUAUUUCAGGAUCGGUAUGACAUGAAGUCUUCUGGACAAAGAGACCGUAAAAACAGACGACAUGCUAUGAGAAAGGGGUCUCGCAAGCGUGACAGCAGCAGUGACAACAACAGUGAUAGCAACAGUGGCAGUGGCAGCGGUAGUGACAACGACAGUGAUAGUGAGAACGAUAAUGAAAACGACAGUGACAGUGAAAGCGAAAGCUAAAGAAAAUUACGUGGCCGAGGGUGACCAUCUUCAUAGACUCCAAGAAUUCAAAGUGCUUAGAAGCUUUGUCUGAUGUGCACAGUGUUAAGAAUAAAGUUAUGUUAACCGGCUAACUAACGGAGUUUUCACUUAUUUUUCUUAAAUAUAACAAGUUACUUGUAUUGUGGAUAUAUUAAUUAUUGCUGAUUAUUCUCAUUUUUUAUACAAUGUUGACUGAUAUACAAAUAUGUAUAAUAUUGUUGUUGUAUUUUUAACAAAUAAAAUUUAAUAGCAAUUGGUUGAUAUAUGAGAUUAACAUAACUGAUUAUUUAAUUUCGAAAAUAAAUAUUAUUUUCUGGUUAACUUUUGUUAUGAUGGGGGAAAUUUAGCAAAUGAUACAAAUGCAUAAGGCUGAUAAACAAGUUAUUCUAUUCACAGAUACAUUUAGAAUGUUGCAAAAAAGAUCUUAACACAAUAAAUUGACCAUGUUAUUGUGUUUUGUUUCAAAUAUAUAUGCAAUUUUGAACGCAUGUUAAUAUAAAUAUUCAAAAGACUGUUUGUUUCAAGCACGAAGUGAAAUCACAAUGACAUUUAAUAUAAUUAUGUAUAAUUUACAGUUGUGGGUAUGAUAAAGUACUGACUUGUGAAAUCAUUGUAUUAAACAUGUAUAUAUCAUCCUAACAUUUGCUUGCUAUAUCGAAGUUAAACGAAGCAAUAAAUAUUAAUCUUAAUAA